CACUCCAUCUCAUAACGAACUUCGUACAAACCUGAAGUGUCCAAUUUCAUGGACCAAUCGAAAUUGGAUUGAGUCCAAAACUUGGGGAACAUCAUAAUAUGUUAGGAGGAGUCAUUUGAGGGGUUUUAAGUGAAAUCCAAUAUCUAAAACUAUGCAAAACACCACCACUCCAUUUCAGAACGAACUUCAUAUGAACUUAAAUUCUCCUAUUUCAGGGACCAAUCGAUAUCGGAUUGAACCCAAGACUUGGGGAACAUCAUAAUACGGUG
rnacentral:lncRNA from 1 species